UUCCGUGCAGUGUGAUUCUAUCACUAUCUCUAAAAUUGGAGGAUAUCAGUAAAGUUGCUUUGUUUAUCCAUUGGCUGGGCCAAAUCGACAUUAAAAAUCUUUUAGUUCACGUUUUUCCACAAUGGAGGCUCGUAACAGGUUUGGAGUUCUGCAAAAACAACAAAGAUCAAACUUUUAUGUCUGAGGCCUUCAAUUCCUUCAAGAACAAUUAUCUUGGGUUGUACAGUUGCUUGAUGGAUAAGCUCCCACUUCUUUACGGUUGGAACUUAUUUGAGCAUUCAUAGUGCAGUUUGCAGAAUGCCCUAAAGCUAUUAUAAAUGCAGAUUAUCCAAAGCAAUGGCCUAGCCUUCUUCCGUGGGUCAAACACAGUUUGCAAGAUCAGCAAGUAUAUGCUGCUUUAUGUGUCCUAAGAAUUAUUCCAAGGAAGUAUGACGCCUCCAAGUCCAAUACAUAUCAACUUUUUAAAGCCGCAACUUGAUAUUGUGUGUUUUGGAAUUAUCUUCCCUCUUGUGUGCUUCAAUGAUAAUGAUGAGACUCUCUGGCGUGAAGACCCUCACAAAUAUUUCAGGGAAUAUCAUGAUAUUUUGAAGAUGUCUACAGUCCCUGCACCGUAUCCAUUGAUUUCAUUGCAGAGCUAGUGCGGAAAUGUGGAUUUGAAAUCCUCCAGAGAUUCCUUUCCUUUGUUAGAAAUUUUGUCACGUAAAGAAUCUGUGCUUAGAAGUGGACAUAUGGAAAAUACAACUUUCCAGCUGUUGCAUAAAAUGAUUAGAGCAGAUUUUAUGGUUCCUAAAAGUGUGUACUGUUUCAAUCCAUCUUUGCAGCUAUGAUGAGGCAGCUCCAGGCUACAAACCCUAUAAGCAGAAAGAUGGUGUAGCCAUUGGGGCCUUGUGUAAGAAGCUGGAGCAGACUGGGCCAUACAAAUUUCAGCUGGAACAGAUGCUAGUGCAGCAUCGAUUACCUAAGUUUAGAAGCUAAAUUGGUCAUUUGAGAGCAAAGCUUUGUGUGUUUAUUUUUCUCUCCUUAAUGACCGUGCAAAAUUAAUAUACAGCAAAUUCUUUGGGUCGCUCUUCAAUUUUUCUGAAUUGUAGAACUUAAGCCUUUAAACUCUUCUGCUAACUCAGUUCGGUUCUUGAAUAAUCUAAAUGCAUCUUUUGGUUUGCUAAUUCUUCAGGAUUUCAAAAUUGAUUUAUUAUUCAUUGCAGUUCUAGAUGAGGCAUAAUAUAGCAUUUUCCAUUGCAUGGGUUUUGGAAGUUGGCAGAAAUUUCGAAAAGCUGUCACCUAUUUCCUGGAAAUGGAAUUUCGUUUCCGAAUUCCGAGUAAUAUUUCAGCUUCAGGUCAGUCAGAGUAUGAUGCUAAUAAGCGUGCAGUAGGAGUUCAUUGCAUAGUUAGUGGUAAUGCAUCUAUCACUAUAAUUAGUAUGUUAAUAUUCUUAAUAAAUAUAUAAAAAUAAAAUAAAAUUCAUUAUUAUAAAUUUAUAAUAUUAAAAAUAAUAUUAUUAAUUAUGAGACAUUGAAAUCUUAUAUAAUUUUUUUUUUUUUUCACAAGAUAAAGAUAAGAACCAAUAUAAUGAUAUAAUAAUAUUACAAUAAUGCAAUUUUAAUAGAUUUUGUUUUUUUGGUUAGAUUCUUUGUUUUGUCAAGGGUUUAAUAGAAAUAUAAAAGUAUAAUUAUAAUAAUAAUAAUUUGAUAAUUGAUUCUUUAACCUUUCUCAAGUCGCUUUUCCAAACUAAGAAGAAAACAAGAAACAUCUUCCAAUUUCACCUAGGUUUUGACCCCGCGUCGAUUAUCUCUGACCCGGUCAACAUCGCAUCAAGCUGGCCUUUCUACACCUUCACUGAAAUUUCUACAGAAAUGCACUGCGAUUAAAAAAUUUGUAGCUAUAUAAAGUGCCAAUCUUCUUGUCAAAGGCGAUACGAUUGUUUCUCAAACCUCCUUCUGCAAUUAGCGUUAUAAUUAUUUUGCCCUUUGAUAGUCUGUAAAUUGAGGGGGACAAAGAACAGAGAAUGACGACUUUAGCAUUGCCUAUGAUGGCGCCCGCAAAAGCUGCAGCUGAGACCGUCGGAGCUUCCUGCCGCUUCCAUUUCCCUGGUUUUGAAAUUCGACAGCGUAAUAAGGAAGAAGCAAAGGAAUUGGGCGCAGACGAAAAGAGGGAGUCAAGAAAGAGAAGCAGAGGACUAGGGUUUGCACCGGAAUUUGACGGUUUACAUUGCUAUGAAAAUUUGAUUUGUAGUUGAAUCAAUUUUAAAUCUUUCCAUGACGAGGCCUUCGAUACAUCUAUUAAUUAUUCUUUUUUCCAACGAUUCUACCGUUGCUUGUACAAAGGACACUUCUACUCACCAUUGAACUGUAACAAGAAUACUCGAGUCCAUCUUUAAUUCAAUAUUUAUUGAUGCUUUGUUCUC